UGUUCACUCAAAAUAAAAUGAGUGAUAUUUUAGAGGGUUAGAAAACACUGACUUAAAGGAAUGCUCUCUGCACAGAACGCGCUGGCCUGGUGGACACCGACAGGGGGACGUUGGUGAUGGAAACUCCAGAGGAAGUGGCAGUGGACUGCGGAGCACGAGUUCCUUUUAUGUCUGCCACCAUGGACUGUACCACACAGAAGAGAGAGUUUUCCACAACUACAGCAAAUAGACUCUCAAGGACUAGAAGAUAACUGACUGCGUAAGUCUACAAAGGAACAUUUCGACCAUGACCAUAAACCACGGCCAAGUGUGUUGACUCCAAGAGACCAAAGUUGUUUUAUAUUAUAAAGAGCAGCCACUGAUGAUGAAAAAUUCAAAGACAAAAUUCAUGACUCUAUCUCCAUUGCUGUCAAAAAGUAAUACUUUCAGAGAAAAACAACCACUGAUAAUAUUUCUAGCAUACUAAGUAUAAAAUAAAUAUCUGUUAUCUCCCAACAAGUAUACUUAAAUUUUUAGAAUAAACAUGAUCUUUAAGGAUCAAACCUUCAAAGCUUUCUUUUAAAACCUGUAAAAGCACAUUAAAUAUUUUAUCUUCAACAUAAGUUUUCAUAUACUCAUUAUGUUAAUGUGUUUAGAGUACAGUUUUU
rnacentral:lncRNA from 1 species